rnacentral:lncRNA from 1 species
AUGGGAUGGAGUUGAUGUUUAUCAUAGCCACCAACUGUUGGCACAGCAAAGAGGGUCUUGCCAUGUAGCCUUAACUUGGGACCGUUCCUGGCUGAGCCCUUGUCAAUAGUAAGCACAGCAAAAGAGAACUAGAAGCUAAUUCCUUAUCUUCUUCUUUUCACCACAAAAUAUAGUGGGCAUUUCCCUUCUAGUCUUGUCCUCCACAUGAGCCAGCUCCUGUGAGAACUUUAGCCUUGCAUAUGGGGUUCAGCUGGGUUCUUCACCAAGACAGGCACCUGCUGCCAUUUCUCCUCGGUGAAAUUCACAGAUUUAUACAGGAGAAAGAUGGGUGAUCACCGCAUGAACAAAUGCCCCUCUCUUGUAUAUCACUGGCUUCCAGUUAUCUUCAGCAUGAAAUCCCAACUUCUUAACAGUCAUGGACACAAGAUGUCAGCUCUGCCCAUCUCUUUCUACUUCUUCUCCCCAACUCUAUGCAUUUACUUUCUUCGAUCUCACUGGCCUUUCUACGCCCUUGGACCUUUUCAUCUGAUGAAGAUCAAAUGGUCAUAAAGGCCUUCAACAGAGCUGCAAAGAUGUAACUAGGCAGCCAAGCCAGUACUGGCCAUCAAUUCUGAUAAGUAUAUUGACUGGUGUCUGGUCACCUACAGAGAUACUUCUGUCCCCAAGAGUUUGGGACAUAAACUUAUCAGAAAUCCACUAUGAUGACCUACAAAUUUACUCAUGAGACUUAAAUCUGAUCAUGUCAUCACUUGGUGUAAUGAAACACUAUAAAAAACAUAAUUAAAUAUGAGUGGGAGCCAGGCCGUUUCCUUAGCCCUCAGGAUGAAUACUUUGUGAAGACAUUCUAAAUGUCAACGA